rnacentral:rRNA from 1 species
UACGGAGGGUGCGAGCGUUGUCCGGAAUCACUGGGCGUAAAGGGCGCGUAGGCGGCUCAUGAAGGCUGUGGUGAAAGUCCGGGGCUCAACCUCGGAUCGGCCGUGGCGACUCGUGGGCUGGAGCACUGUAGAGGCGGGUGGAAUUCCGGGUGUAGCGGUGGAAUGCGUAGAGAUCCGGAAGAACACCAGUGGCGAAGGCGGCCCGCUGGGCAGUGGCUGACGCUGAGGAGCGAAAGCGUGGGGAGCGAACAGG